rnacentral:tRNA from 1 species
ACCCUUCUUAUUUACCCAAGAGGAAGACAAUUGGAACUGCUAAUUCCUCGCUCCAUACU